rnacentral:rRNA from 1 species
CCCGAGUGCUUGCACUCAAUUGGAAAGAGGAGUGGCGGACGGGUGAGUAACACGUGGGUAACCUACCCAUCAGAGGGGGAUAACACUUGGAAACAGGUGCUAAUACCGCAUAACAGUUUAUGCCGCAUGGCAUAAGAGUGAAAGGCGCUUUCGGGUGUCGCUGAUGGAUGGACCCGCGGUGCAUUAGCUAGUUGGUGAGGUAACGGCUCACCAAGGCCACGAUGCAUAGCCGACCUGAGAGGGUGAUCGGCCACACUGGGACUGAGACACGGCCCAGACUCCUACGGGAGGCAGCAGUAGGGAAUCUUCGGCAAUGGACGAAAGUCUGACCGAGCAACGCCGCGUGAGUGAAGAAGGUUUUCGGAUCGUAAAACUCUGUUGUUAGAGAAGAACAAGGACGUUAGUAACUGAACGUCCCCUGACGGUAUCUAACCAGAAAGCCACGGCUAACUACGUGCCAGCAGCCGCGGUAAUACGUAGGUGGCAAGCGUUGUCCGGAUUUAUUGGGCGUAAAGCGAGCGCAGGCGGUUUCUUAAGUCUGAUGUGAAAGCCCCCGGCUCAACCGGGGAGGGUCAUUGGAAACUGGGAGACUUGAGUGCAGAAGAGGAGAGUGGAAUUCCAUGGUUAAACC